CCUACGGGUGGCUGCAGUAGGGAAUCUUCGGCAAUGGACGAAAGUCUGACCGAGCAACGCCGCGUGAGUGAAGAAGGUUUUCGGAUCGUAAAACUCUGUUGUUAGAGAAGAACAAGGAUGAGAGUAGAAUGUUCAUCCCUUGACGGUAUCUAACCAGAAAGCCACGGCUAACUACGUGCCAGCAGCCGCGGUAAUACGUAGGUGGCAAGCGUUGUCCGGAUUUAUUGGGCGUAAAGCGAGCGCAGGCGGUUUCUUAAGUCUGAUGUGAAAGCCCCCGGCUCAACCGGGGAGGGUCAUUGGAAACUGGGAAACUUGAGUGCAGAAGAGGAGAGUGGAAUUCCAUGUGUAGCGGUGAAAUGCGUAGAUAUAUGGAGGAACACCAGUGGCGAAGGCGGCUCUCUGGUCUGUAACUGACGCUGAGGCUCGAAAGCGUGGGGAGCAAACAGGAUUAGAUACCCUUGUAGUC
rnacentral:rRNA from 1 species